AUUGAACGCUGGCGGCAGGCCUAACACAUGCAAGUCGAACGAGUGGCGGACGGGUGAGUAAUGUCUGGGAAACUGCCUGAUGGAGGGGGAUAACUACUGGAAACGGUAGCUAAUACCGCAUACCAUCAGAUGUGCCCAGAUGGGAUUAGCUUUUUGUGGGGGUAACGGCGAACCAAGGGGACGAUCCCUAGCUGGUCUGUGAGGAUGACCAGCCCCACUGGAACUGAGAAACGGUCCGUACUCCUACGGUGGGCGGCAGUGGGGAAUAUUGCACAAUGGGCGCAAGCCUAAUGCAGCAAUGCGGGGUGUAUGAAGAAGGCCUUCGGGUUGUAAAGUACUUUCAGCGGGGAGGCGUUACCCGCAGAAGAAGCACCGGCUAACUCCGUGCCAGCAGCCGCGGUAAUAC
rnacentral:rRNA from 1 species